rnacentral:rRNA from 1 species
CCUACGGGAGGCAGCAGUCGAGAAUUUUUCUCAAUGGGGGAAACCCUGAAGGAGCGACGCCGCGUGGGGGAUGAAUGGCUUCGGCCCGUAAACCCCUGUCAUCUGUGAGCAACCCAACCUACCUAACAAGUUGGUGAAGUGAUAGUAGCAGAAGAGGAAGGGACGGCUAACUCUGUGCCAGCAGCCGCGGUAAUACAGAGGUCCCAAGCGUUGUUCGGAUUUACUGGGCGUAAAGGGUGCGUAGGCGGACCUAAAAAGUCUGAUGUAGAAAUCUCGGAGCUCAACUCUGAAACUGCUUUAGAUACUAUUUGGCUUGAGGAAUGGAGGGGAGAUUGGAAUUCUCGGUGUAGCAGUGAAAUGCGUAGAUAUCGAGAGGAACACCAGUGGCGAAGGCGAAUCUCUGGACAUUACCUGACGCUGAGGCACGAAAGCCAAGGGAGACAAACGGGAUUAGAUACCCGGUAGUCUUGGCUGUAAACGGUGCGCAUUUGCUGUGAGCGGAUUCAAACCCGCUCGUGGCGAAGCAAACGCGAUAAAUGCGCCGCCGGUGGGUAGGUACGGUUCGCGAAGAAGUUAAACUAACAAGAGAGUAGACGGCGNGAGAGNGCGACGGACGACGACGAGGGAGGAGG